rnacentral:rRNA from 1 species
CCUACGGGGGGCAGCAGUGAGGAAUAUUGGUCAAUGGUCGGGAGACUGAACCAGCCAAGCCGCGUGAGGGAUGAAGGUACAGAGUAUCGUAAACCUCUUUUGUCAGGGAACAAAGGCGGGGACGCGUCCCCGGAUGAGUGUACCUGAAGAAAAAGCAUCGGCUAACUCCGUGCCAGCAGCCGCGGUAAUACGGAGGAUGCGAGCGUUAUCCGGAUUUAUUGGGUUUAAAGGGUGCGCAGGCGGUCUGUUAAGUCUGGAGUGAAAGGUACCGGCUCAACCGGUACAGG